UCACACCAUGACACUUUACAUUCAAUCCAUUGUCAAAUGUUGUCAAUAUGGCUGUACAUAUAAAAAAAAAAAUGUAAAAAAAGUAAGAUUUUAUGACUCAUUUCAGAAAUUCUUAUAUUUCUGAAACUCAUUGCACAGAGUGAAGUAUUUCAAGCCUGCAUUUCUGGAUUCAUUUUGCAUGAAUUACUGCAUCAACGUGGCAUGACAUGGAGGCGAUCAGCCUCUGGUUCUACUUCAGUGUAACGGAAGCACAGAUUGAAAACAGUGGGCAAAAGGCAGCAUUUGACAUAGCUCCAGAAAUCCUUUGUAAGACCUUUCUCGCAUCGUCUGCGGCACAGGAGUGCACCUUUUCUCAACACUUUUAUCAAUUAAUUUACAUUCAUCUGGAAACGGGACUCUGUACCAUUACAGACAUGACAUUUCAAAGAAGAAUAGAGCUCCUCCGCCCAGAACUCGUCUUCCCUGAGGAGCUCUUUUUCCCCUAAACUUAGACAGAACAUGUUUUGUAGCGCAUACAGCAUUCUCCUGUAUGUGGUGGCUCUCGAAGCACCUACUACAACCUCAGUACAUGUGUUGUGAAGUUCCCCCAAGUAAGGAAUACUUUACACAUUCAAGUCUACAUUAGUGCUUUUCAUUUCAAACAACUAAAGCAUAAAAUCACGUGCUUGGAAAGGUGAGAAUGAAAAGAGGCACCGUGUUUCUACUUCAGCCCAAACAUAUGUGACGUCAGCAGCACAUUAUUAAAGACCUGUGAAUUGUGCAA